rnacentral:rRNA from 1 species
CACGUAGGGGGCAAGCGUUGUCCGGAAUUACUGGGCGUAAAGGGCGUGUAGGCGGUCAGUCAAGUCUAGUGUGAAACACCUGGGCUCAACCCAGGUAUUGCACUGGAAACUGGUUGACUUGAGGGCAGGAGAGGUAAGUGGAAUUCCUAGUGUAGCGGUGAAAUGCGUAGAUAUUAGGAAGAACACCAGUGGCGAAGGCGACUUACUGGCCUGACCCUGACGCUGAGGCGCGAAAGCGUGGGGAGCGAACAGG